rnacentral:lncRNA from 1 species
UCGCGAGCGCGUGUUCUUCGAAUGACCUUCCUGCCUCGGGCGUCGGGAGAUAAGCGAAAGAACGUGCCGGGGAUCGCGGACAAGAGGCUUUGAAGCGGCCAAAUUGAAGCGGCCAAACUGAAGCGGCCAAACUGAAGUGGCCAAACUGAAGCGGCCAAACUGAAGCGGUCAAAUUGAAGCGGCCAAACUGAAGCGGCCAAACUGAAGCGGCCAAAUGGUCAACGCGCCAGACUAGACUUUGCUGCCGGAGACGGGAUGGUACCAGGCGAGGUCACCAUCGGGGGUUAUGAGGCCCGCUGUCUGAACAGCCUGCGGGGGAGAACCAUGAACCAGCCACCGCCACGCGAGAACCGGAAUGCCCACAGGAAGAAACCACC